AGGGCGCACGGUGGAUGCCUUGGCACUAGGAGCCGAUGAAGGACGGGACUAACACCGAUAUGCUUUGGGGAGCUGUAAGUAAGCUAUGAUCCAGAGAUUUCCGAAUGGGGGAACCCAAUAUCUUUUAUAGGAUAUUACUUUUCAGUGAAUACAUAGCUGAUUAGAGGUAGACGCAGAGAACUGAAACAUCUUAGUACCUGCAGGAAGAGAAAGAAAAUUCGAUUCCCUGAGUAGCGGCGAGCGAAACGGGAAGAGCCCAAACCAACAAGCUUGCUUGUUGGGGUUGUAGGACUCCAACAUGGUAGUCUGUUAGUAUAGUUGAAGGAUUUGGAAAAUUCCGCUAAAGAGGGUGAAAGCCCCGUAGACGAAAUGCUGACAACACCUAGGAGGAUCCUGAGUACGGCGGAACACGAGAAAUUCCGUCGGAAUCCGCGGGGACCAUCCCGCAAGGCUAAAUACUCCCUAGUGACCGAUAGUGAACCAGUACCGUGAGGGAAAGGUGAAAAGCACCCCGGAAGGGGAGUGAAAUAGAUCCUGAAACCGUGUGCCUACAACAAGUCAAAGCUCGUUAAUGAGUGAUGGCGUGCCUUUUGUAGAAUGAACCGGCGAGUUACGAUUGCAUGCGAGGUUAAGUCGAAGAGACGGAGCCGCAGCGAAAGCGAGUCUGAAUAGGGCGAAUGAGUAUGUAGUCGUAGACCCGAAACCAUGUGAUCUACCCAUGUCCAGGUUGAAGGUGCGGUAAAACGCACUGGAGGACCGAACCCACGUACGUUGAAAAGUGCGGGGAUGAGGUGUGGGUAGCGGAGAAAUUCCAAACGAACUUGGAGAUAGCUGGUUCUCUCCGAAAUAGCUUUAGGGCUAGCCUCGGAAUUGAGAAUGAUGGAGGUAGAGCACUGUUUGGACUAGGGGCCCAUCUCGGGUUACCGAAUUCAGAUAAACUCCGAAUGCCAUUCAUUUAUAUCCGGGAGUCAGACUGCGAGUGAUAAGAUCCGUAGUCGAAAGGGAAACAGCCCAGACCACCAGCUAAGGUCCCAAAAUAUAUGUUAAGUGGAAAAGGAUGUGGGGUUGCACAGACAACUAGGAUGUUGGCUUAGAAGCAGCCACCAUUUAAAGAGUGCGUAAUAGCUCACUAGUCGAGUGACCCUGCGCCGAAAAUGUACCGGGGCUAAACAUAUUACCGAAGCUGUGGACUACACCAUUAGGUGUAGUGGUAGGAGAGCGUUCUAAGGGCGUUGAAGGUCGAUCGUGAGGACGGCUGGAGCGCUUAGAAGUGAGAAUGCCGGUAUGAGUAGCGAAAGACAGGUGAGAAUCCUGUCCACCGUAUGACUAAGGUUUCCUGGGGAAGGCUCGUCCGCCCAGGGUUAGUCGGGACCUAAGCCGAGGCCGAUAGGCGUAGGCGAUGGACAACAGGUUGAUAUUCCUGUACCAGUUGUUUUUGUUUGAGCAAUGGAGGGACGCAGUAGGCUAAGGAAUGCAUGCGAUUGGAAGUGCAUGUCCAAGCAAUGAGUCUUGAGUAGAGUUAAAUGCUUUACUCUCUAAGGACAAGUUGUGACGGGGAGCGAAAUAAUAGUAGCGAAGUUCCUGAUGUCACACUGCCAAGAAAAGCUUCUAGUGAGAAAACAACUGCCCGUACCGUAAACCGACACAGGUAGUCGAGGAGAGUAUCCUAAGGUGAGCGAGCGAACUCUCGUUAAGGAACUCGGCAAAAUGACCCCGUAACUUCGGGAGAAGGGGUGCUGACUUCGGUCAGCCGCAGUGAAUAGGCCCAAGCGACUGUUUAUCAAAAACACAGGUCUCUGCAAAAUCGUAAGAUGAAGUAUAGGGGCUGACGCCUGCCCGGUGCUGGAAGGUUAAGAGGAUGGGUUAGCUUCGGCGAAGCUCAGAAUUGAAGCCCCAGUAAACGGCGGCCGUAACUAUAACGGUCCUAAGGUAGCGAAAUUCCUUGUCGGGUAAGUUCCGACCCGCACGAAAGGCGUAACGAUUUGGGCACUGUCUCAACGAGAGACUCGGUGAAAUUUUAGUACCUGUGAAGAUGCAGGUUACCCGCGACAGGACGGAAAGACCCCAUGGAGCUUUACUGUAGUUUGAUAUUGAGUGUUUGUACCACAUGUACAGGAUAGGUAGGAGCCGAUGAGACCGGAACGCUAGUUUCGGAGGAGGCGCUGGUGGGAUACUACCCUUGUGUUAUGAACCCUCUAACCCGCACCACUAAUCGUGGUGGGAGACAGUGUCAGAUGGGCAGUUUGACUGGGGCGGUCGCCUCCUAAAAGGUAACGGAGGCGCCCAAAGGUUCCCUCAGAAUGGUUGGAAAUCAUUCGAAGAGUGUAAAGGCAGAAGGGAGCUUGACUGCGAGACCUACAAGUCGAGCAGGGACGAAAGUCGGGCUUAGUGAUCCGGUGGUUCCGCAUGGAAGGGCCAUCGCUCAACGGAUAAAAGCUACCCUGGGGAUAACAGGCUUAUCUCCCCCAAGAGUCCACAUCGACGGGGAGGUUUGGCACCUCGAUGUCGGCUCGUCGCAUCCUGGGGCUGUAGUCGGUCCCAAGGGUUGGGCUGUUCGCCCAUUAAAGCGGCACGCGAGCUGGGUUCAGAACGUCGUGAGACAGUUCGGUCCCUAUCCGUCGCGGGCGUUGGAAAUUUGAGAGGAGCUGUCCUUAGUACGAGAGGACCGGGAUGGACUUACCGCUGGUGUACCAGUUGUUCUGCCAAGGGCAUUGCUGGGUAGCUAUGUAGGGAAGGGAUAAACGCUGAAAGCAUCUAAGUGUGAAGCCCACCUCAAGAUGAGAUUUCCCAUUUCU
rnacentral:rRNA from 1 species